ensembl:lncRNA
AAUCUCUUUUGAGCUUUGGUUUGGCAGCCAUGUGUCUUUUGCAUCUCCUCUGAUUUAAGGUUAGCUUAGGUCUGCUGAGCUGCACUUUUACAUCUAAAAUACAAGGUGCUGGAGUUGCUUUUGAGGACAGUGCUGCUGCCAGAACCUGUGAGUGUUUGUGUGGGCUGGAGGUAGCUGUAACUUGCCCAGGCUGGUUGUGCUGAGGCUGAAUGCUGGAAGGGGGCACUUGGAGGUUGGCACCUCACCAAGGCCAGUGGCUUGGAUCUGUCAGUGGAGGGUGACUUGCUGCAAAGAGAUCAUGGCCUCAUCCCGACUUGUGACAAGAUCUAGGGACAUUGCCAAUGUCAUGCAACGGCUUCAAGAAAUUCAUUUGGCACAAACGGUCAUGAAGAUGUGCUGCAUCCGAAGCUGCAAGUGUGUAGCAACCUGUCAUAUGCUUGUGCCCAUGCAAAGAUCAGCCACAGUUUUGAAGUUCCUUACCCAGUAGAAUGGUGGACCUACUCCUUUAAACCAGGGCUCAUAAAGUGAGGAGAAAGGUGGACAUUGAGUAAGAUUUAUAUUUUCUAAUUUCAUCAUCCCUGUCACUCUAAAAAGCGUCACAUAGGGCUAUCAAUUAUAGCUCAGUCUGCAGUCUGAGGAGAGAGGCAUCUCCAGAAGGUGCACUAUACCCUGUCACUUGCAUCUGAUUAAUGAAGACAUGUUUUUGAAGCAGACAUCCAUCCCAGAAUAUUUUAUUUUGGGAAUUUUAUAUCAUGUAUGUAAUAAGCAACAGUUGUUGUAGUGAAGAAUGACCGUAUCACAAUUGGUUAACCACAACUAGUAACAUAGUUGCUUCCAUAUCAUUCUUUUGCUAUUCAAAUACACUUAGGGGUGAGUGACAUCUUUCCACCUCUGUGUACUGCUUACCCUUUCCUCAGUGCUGGCUCUAAUAGGCUACCCUGCAAGUGUGGCUGCUAAGAGAACUGACAGUGUAGAGGAGGUAUCUGAAUUUUUGAUUGCAGAGUUUACGUGUGAAGAAUCCCAUAUUUGAGGUACUACAGAGUAAACUGAUGACAUCUUUUAGAGUCUUUGCAUAAUUUAUUCCUUGCUAACACAGCUCAAGGUUUUCUACUGUACCUUUUGCUUCCUACUUAACAUUUUUACAUUACAAAAGCACUCACAAAGCCUGAGUAGAACUGGUGUACGCCAUCAGUUGGAGUCACAUUCCUGGAAUUCAUUGGGGUUAUUCAAAUAAGUAAAUGCCACAGAGAAGUAAAAUGGCACAAAGGUACUUCUUUGCCUAGGGAGAGUGCCAGUUUCUCACACAUUAUAGAUAGUCAUACAUUAAAGAUUCUUACAAUGCUUUGAGUAGCUACAAAAAUCAAAGCAGGCAGUGCUAGAAAACAGGCUAGUAAAAACUUUGUGAUGUCUGGCAUCAAGAUAAUGUAUUUUCCUUAAGUACUUCACUCACAGACAAACUGCAGUCAUACUGUUUUCUGAAGGAAAAAAAAAAUAGGGUCCCAUUCUUCCAGUCAUUGUGUCUCAUACAUUGGCCUCCUCUUGUUGGCUUGCAGGUUGUUAGCAAAAGAGUCACUAUAUCAUACUACUGCAGAAGGCAUUACUCCUUCCCACUUUUCUCUCCUUCUAUUUAUUUUAAUUUCCCGUGUAGUAGUCUAUGCAAGAUAGAGAUGUUUCUGAGUGGUACUGUGUUCGUUACUGGGGGGUCCAUUUAGUCAAACAGGACAUUUUCGUGGAUCACUAAAGUCCAGUCUGCAUUGUAAUCCUAAUUUAUAAAACACCCAAAUUAAAUUGCUCUGGUAUCACAGAUACUUUGAGACAGUUACUCAUUUGAAUCUCAUUCAAUAAAACCAGUUCUAUGGUGUACAAUGUACAGCAAUUUAAACAAUAUUCUGUUAUAAGACACAUUUUGUACAUCUUGCAAAUGGCAUGAAACCUUAAAAAAAAGUUCUCAAUCUUCUAUUUAGUUCUGGGUUGCACUACUUAUAAGACCCAAGCUCAUUUGGGCUCAGGCCAGUAUUGUGCUUUUACAAAAGCCCUGCAGAGAGACUUUAUAUUUCUGAAAAAGACAGUGGGAAAGAAAGCAACUUGGCCAUUCAUGAAGGCCAGCUGUGAUGGAAAGUAGCCACAGUUGCUCUAGUAACCUUCAUAACUCUCCUGAGAAACUUAACAUGGGUCAUAUUAGCUUAAAAUUCCAUCGUUUUAUUUAAAUUUAUCUACCAGUAAAUAUUAUCUGUAGUUUAUUUUUAAUGCCAUCCUUGUUUUUACACUAUUCACAGAAUGCUGGAUCUGUU